rnacentral:ribozyme from 14 species
AUAUGUAAUAAAAAAAAAAAAAAAAAAUUGUUCAUCAUGGUGUUUAUUAUUGUGUUGCUUCGUUAAUUACUAUCAUUUAUUAUACUUAUAUUAAUGAUAUUCAUCGUUGUUAUAUAAUAUAUUCUUGUCAGAAGACGGCUGCCGAAAAAACAUGCAU